rnacentral:rRNA from 1 species
CGGAGGAUCCAAGCGUUAUCCGGAAUCAUUGGGUUUAAAGGGUCCGUAGGCGGUUUUAUAAGUCAGUGGUGAAAUCUGGUCGCUCAACGAUCAAACGGCCAUUGAUACUGUAGAACUUGAAUUACUUGGAAGUAACUAGAAUAUGUAGUGUAGCGGUGAAAUGCUUAGAGAUUACAUGGAAUACCAAUUGCGAAGGCAGGUUACUACAAGUAUAUUGACGCUGAUGGACGAAAGCGUGGGGAGCGAACAGGAUUAGAUACCCUGGUAGUCCACGCCGUAAACGAUGGAUACUAGCUGUUUGGAGCAAUCUGAGUGGCUAAGCGAAAGUGAUAAGUAUCCCACCUGGGGAGUACGCUCGCAAGAGUG